rnacentral:rRNA from 1 species
UACAGAGGGGGCAAGCGUUGUUCGGAAUUACUGGGCGUAAAGGGCGCGUAGGCGGCCUUCUAAGUCGAACGUGAAAUCCCUGGGCUCAACCCAGGAACUGCGUCCGAUACUGGGAGGCUUGAAUCCGGGAGAGGGAUGUGGAAUUCCAGGUGUAGCGGUGAAAUGCGUAGAUAUCUGGAGGAACACCGGUGGCGAAGGCGGCAUCCUGGACCGGUAUUGACGCUCAUGUGCGAAAGCGUGGGGAGCAAACAGG